rnacentral:piRNA from 1 species
UCACUUCCGAGACGGGGUGUCCUUCGCCAA